rnacentral:rRNA from 1 species
AAAAAACUUUCAACAACGGAUCUCUUGGUUCCAGCAUCGAUGAAGAACGCAGCGAAAUGCGAUAAGUAAUGUGAAUUGCAGAAUUCAGUGAAUCAUCGAAUCUUUGAACGCACAUUGCGCCCCUCGGUAUUCCGGGGGGCAUGCCUGUUCGAGCGUCAUUGCA